GAGACAGCAGCCGCCACGGUAAUACAGAGGGUGCAAGCGUUAAUCGGAAUUACUGGGCGUAAAGCGCGCGUAGGUGGUUCGCCAAGUUGGAUGUGAAAGCCCUGGGCUCAACCUGGGAACUGCAUCCAAAACUGGUGAGCUAGAGUACGGUAGAGGGUAGUGGAAUUUCCUGUGUAGCGGUGAAAUGCGUAGAUAUAGGAAGGAACACCAGUGGCGAAGGCGACUACCUGGACUGAUACUGACACUGAGGUGCGAAAGCGUGGGGAGCAAACAGGAUUAGAUACCCGCGUAGUCCCUGUCUCUUAUAC
rnacentral:rRNA from 1 species